AUUAUUGAAAAAACUAAUCUCAACUAAAAAUAUGUAAAGAGGAAAUUAUUAUCAUUUAUCACCAACUGGUAAAGAGAAUAUGUAUCGCCAUCUAGCAGCGGUACUAGCUAUUACUUCAUUGUACCGACUGACGAAAGAAAAUACAUCGCGCUUGGACACAAUCAAAAUGGCCGCCUGCCAUGUCGUUGUAAAGCCACGUGCAAUAAAUGAUUAGUGAUCAGCAAUUCAGCUUAAGAAGAAAACCAUUGGAUUUGAUGUGUGAUAUCUUGUGAAGAAAAAAAACCAUUGGACUUGAUGUGUGAUAUCUUGUGAAGAAGAAAAAACCAUUGGACUUGAUGUGUGAUAUCUUGUGAAGAAAAAAAACCAUUGGACUUGAUGUGUGAUAUCUUGUGAAGGAAAAAAAAACAUUGGACUUGAUGUUAGAUAUCAAUGCUUAAGAAGAAAACCAUUGGAUUUGUGUUUGUGAU